CGUGCUUAACACAUGCAAGUCGAACGGAAAGGCCCUGCUUUUGUGGGGUGCUCGAGUGGCGAACGGGUGAGUAACACGUGAGUAACCUGCCCUUGACUUUGGGAUAACUUCAGGAAACUGGGGCUAAUACCGGAUAGGAGCUCCUGCUGCAUGGUGGGGGUUGGAAAGUUUCGGCGGUUGGGGAUGGACUCGCGGCUUAUCAGCUUGUUGGUGGGGUAGUGGCUUACCAAGGCUUUGACGGGUAGCCGGCCUGAGAGGGUGACCGGCCACAUUGGGACUGAGAUACGGCCCAGACUCCUACGGGAGGCAGCAGUGGGGAAUAUUGCACAAUGGGCGGAAGCCUGAUGCAGCAACGCCGCGUGCGGGAUGACGGCCUUCGGGUUGUAAACCGCUUUCGCCUGUGACGAAGCGUGAGUGACGGUAAUGGGUAAAGAAGCACCGGCUAACUACGUGCCAGCAGCCGCGGUGAUACGUAGGGUGCGAGCGUUGUCCGGAUUUAUUGGGCGUAAAGGGCUCGUAGGUGGUUGAUCGCGUCGGAAGUGUAAUCUUGGGGCUUAACCCUGAGCGUGCUUUCGAUACGGGUUGACUUGAGGAAGGUAGGGGAGAAUGGAAUUCCUGGUGGAGCGGUGGAAUGCGCAGAUAUCAGGAGGAACACCAGUGGCGAAGGCGGUUCUCUGGGCCUUUCCUGACGCUGAGGAGCGAAAGCGUGGGGAGCGAACAGGCUUAGAUACCCUGGUAGUCCACGCUGUAAACGGUGGGUACUAGGUGUGGGGUCCAUUCCACGGGUUCCGUGCCGUAGCUAACGCUUUAAGUACCCCGCCUGGGGAGUACGGCCGCAAGGCUAAAACUCAAAGGAAUUGACGGGGCCCCGCACAAGCGGCGGAGCAUGCGGAUUAAUUCGAUGCAACGCGUAGAACCUUACCUGGGUUUGACAUGGAUCGGGAGUGCUCAGAGAUGGGUGUGCCUCUUUUGGGGUCGGUUCACAGGUGGUGCAUGGCUGUCGUCAGCUCGUGUCGUGAGAUGUUGGGUUAAGUCCCGCAACGAGCGCAACCCUUGUUCACUGUUGCCAGCACGUUAUGGUGGGGACUCAGUGGAGACCGCCGGGGUCAACUCGGAGGAAGGUGGGGAUGACGUCAAGUCAUCAUGCCCCUUAUGUCCAGGGCUUCACGCAUGCUACAAUGGCUGGUACAGAGAGUGGCGAGCCUGUGAGGGUGAGCGAAUCUCGGAAAGCCGGUCUCAGUUCGGAUUGGGGUCUGCAACUCGACCUCAUGAAGUCGGAGUCGCUAGUAAUCGCAGAUCAGCAACGCUGCGGUGAAUACGUUCCCGGGGCUUGUACACACCGCCCGUCAAGUCAUGAAAGUUGGUAACACCCGAAGCCGGUGGCCUAACCGUUGUGGGGGAGCCGUCGAAGGUGGGACUGGUGAUUAGGC
rnacentral:rRNA from 1 species